rnacentral:rRNA from 1 species
AAAGAUUAAGCCAUGCAUGUGUCAGUACGAGCCUUCCUUAGGUGAAACCGCAAACGGCUCAUUAAAUCAGUCAUAAUUUACUGGAUGUAGGUUAUCCUUUACUCGGAUAACUGUGGCAAUUCUAGAGCUAAUACGUGCAACUGAGCCCCGACACCCGGCCGUCAGUCGUUCGCGUUCGUCGGUUAUGGGUGGAAGGGCGCAAUUAUUAGAACCACAAACCGAGCGGGCUUUCGGGCCCGUCCCUUAACCUUAGCGGUUGUGGUGACUCUGGAUAAUCUGCCAAGCGAUGAGGCCCUCGCGCCGUCGCUGCAUCUUUGAGAGACUGCCUUAUCAGCUUUCGAUUGUAGGAUAUAUGCCUACGAUGGCUGUAACGGGUAACGGGGAAUCAGGGUUCGAUUCCGGAGAGGGAGCCUGAGAAACGGCUACCACAUCUAAGGAAGGCAGCAGGCACGCAAAUUACCCACUCCUGGCUCUGGGAGGUAGUGACGAUAAAUAACGAUGCGAGACUCAUCCGAGGCCUCGCAAUCGGAAUGAGACCAGUCUAAAACUUUGGACGAGGAACCAUUGGAGGGCAAGUCUGGUGCCAGCAGCCGCGGUAAUUCCAGCUCCAAUAGCGUAUAUUAAAGUUGCUGCGGUUAAAAAGCUCGUAGUUUGACUUUAGGCCCGUACCGGGGGCCCACCCAAGGAGAGCUCCUCGCGGAGGUCCCGGUUGUCGUUGGCUCGCGGGCGGUGGCUAUCGGAGUUAAAUAUAUCUGAAUUCGACAAGCGCCAUCCCUUGCCUUCGCUCGAGAUGCUUACGAGAAUAGUUCUCCCGGUGGUUAACCCACUCGGAUACGGGCUUUCAAAAAACCCGUCGGUUCUCGCGGGGUGCUCUUUACCGAGUGUCUCGCGUGGCCGGCAACGUUCACUUUGAAAAAAUUAGAGUGCUCAAAGCAGGCAAAAUUACACGCCUGAAUUGUAUAUGCUUAGGAUGAAGGAACAGGACCUCGGUUCUGCAAUAUUUUUCUCUCGGUUUUUUUCGAACCCGAGGUAAUGAUUAACGGGAGCGGACGGGGGCAUUGGUAUUGCGACGCGAGAGGUGAAAUUCUAAGACCGUCGCAAGACUAACUACUGCGAAAGCAUUUGCCAAGAACGCUUUCAUUAAUCAAGAACGAAAGUUAGAGGAUCGAAGGCGAUCAGAUACCGCCCUAGUUCUAACCUUAAACGAUGCCAACUAGCGAUCCGCUCAAGUCAAUCCCACGACUGAGCGGGCAGCCCCAGGGAAACCAAAGUUUGUGGGUUCCGGGGGAAGUAUGGUUGCAAAUCUGAAACUUAAAGGAAUUGACGGAAGGGCACCACCAGGAGUGGAGCCUGCGGCUUAAUUUGACUCAACACGGGAAACCUCACCAGGCCCAGACACUGGAAGGAUUGACAGAUUGAGAGCUCUUUCUCGAUUCGGUGGUUGGUGGUGCAUGGCCGUUCUUAGUUGGUGGAGCGAUCUGUCUGGUUAAUUCCGAUAACGAACGAGACCCUACCCUAUUAACUAGUCGGUGGAUCGUUUCCCGAGUCGGGUUACCCUUUCGCGGGAUGCUCUGGCGCGUGGAAUACGUCGGGCUCUCUUAGGUCUGCGGUUGCCGUCGUUGCUUCGGUUUCGGCGGUAGUUCGUUCGACCGCGGAGGGUUCGUCCCCGCGUUUGCCUACUUCUCGCGGAGGGCCCGAGGAGGGGCGUCCACCGCAAAAAUCUUCUUAGAGGGAUCAGCGGUUUCCAGCCGCACGAGAGAGAGCAAUAACAGGUCUGUGAUGCCCUUAGAUGUUCUGGGCCGCACGCGUGCUACAAUGAAGGGAGCAGCGUGCUUUCCCCCUCCGAAAGGAGCGGGUAACCCGAUGAAACCCUUUCCCGAUAGGGAUUGGGGAUUGUAAGUGUUUCCCAUGAACGAGGAAUUCCCAGUAAGCGCAAGUCAUUAGCUUGCGAUGAUUACGUCCCUGCCCUUUGUACACACCGCCCGUCGCUACUACCGAUUGAAUGAUUCAGUGAGGGUGUUGGACUGGCGCCCUCGGCAGCUCUCGGUAAGCGUGUCUCCUUAUAGCUUGUCUUGAGAAGGCCGCUACCGAACGGGCGCCCCGGGCACGCCGGAAAGACGUCCGAACUGGAUCAUUUAGAGGAAGUAAAAGUCGUAACAAGGUAUCGGUAGGUGAACCUG